UACAGAGGUCUCAAGCGUUGUUCGGAUUCAUUGGGCGUAGAGGGUGCGUAGGUGGCCAACUAAGUCAGACGUGAAAUCCCUCGGCUUAACCGGGGAACUGCGUCUGAUACUGGAUGGCUUGAGUUUGGGAGAGGGAUGCGGAAUUCCAGGUGUAGCGGUGAAAUGCGUAGAUAUCUGGAGGAACACCGGUGGCGAAGGCGGGUCUCUGGGCCGAUACUGACGCUGAGGAGCGAAAGCGUGGGGAGCGAACAGG
rnacentral:rRNA from 1 species